CGAGAAUUGGCCUAGGAGACAUAUUUUUAUGUUUAAUAUUCUGGGUUUUAUUUUAAAAAUCUUGUUUAGGUUCUAAUCUCCCUGGUGUACAUGCACCGAACAUCCAUAGGCUGGAACCACCUGGAAGCUCUGUGCAUGUACAUAUAAAGAGAACUAAAUAGGAAACUCAACAGAGUGUUAGGCUGAGAAACAUUAUUUAGAUGGCUGUUUUAUUGUUGUUGAAAGCGUGAAAUGUACACAAUGCCAAGGGACCUUGUUUCUAACACACACACACACACAUUCCUGCUUCAUAGAUAGCAAUCCUACAGGCAAUAAAACAGGGGUGUGGGGCCAUACUCUUUCAAAAGUUCAAACACAGAACCCCCCAGUUCAACCAGGUACCUAGACAUCAAUCAGCAUGACAACUUCAAAGGAAUAGAUGCAAUAUAGAUAUAAAAUAACACACCCUCUAACACGUGACAACAGGAACAGGAUGUCCUGGCCGGAUGCCCAUAUUUGGACAUGUACGCAUCAUCUGGACACAGGGCCAUAAAUCAAAAUUUUGACCCGUGCCGUCUGCUCUAUACUCACUCCCAACUACACUCCAGACAUUUUCAUAUUGGUCUUCUCCACUCCAACUUCCACAGAGACUCCAGAAAAAACACCCUUCAAUGGUGCUCUGCUCCGAUGGCAGUCACCUCUUUCUCCUUGAUUCUGGUGAGGCGCAACGCAUAGUCCUUUUGUUCUGCCGACACAAAAAAAUCUACAGAAUUCCAGUUCUCGUCAGCCUCAAAGAUUUCACUUUACCCAACAGAUUAUUCACCAUUUAACAUCAAAACAGAUCUCCCAGGUACAUCUUCUUAUCCUUAAACCAUGCUGCUACUACAAACUGUGAAGUAGGCCUAGUUGAAGUAUUUGUCUUAUUAUACUAAAAAUCAAUUAGUAGUAGGCUUAGAUGUUUUUUUCAUUGUGAUUUGAGCUCUCUUUAUCUGUCCUUCAGUGACGGUUGUCCGUCCAGUAUUGUCGUCACCUUCAUUCUCAUCUUUGCUAGUGCCAUCAGAUUCAAACUCAGCAUCAGAUUCCGCCAUUUUCUGCUCACCAUGUAAUGUGUUCAACUGCUCUGUGUAAAAAAACAAACAGGAGAAGGACUCGUGAGAAUUAAGCAAGCAGGUAUAAUAGAAUAGACUCAGUUACAAUGAACUUCACUAGUCCACUGUAUCAAUAGGCCUAACUCUACAUACAACCAUCCAUACGAUAUUUUAGUAAUUACAUAUUGUACAUACAUGAUGGUGAUCAUGAUGAGGAUGAUGGUGACGUAGAACAGACAAACAUACAGUCAAGAAACAUGCAAAAUACAUAAAUGUAUAGUAAGAUGCAAUUUAAUUCCCUUUGCAGCUGUGACAUUAAAGUUAGUGUCAGUUAGAAUAAUUUGUGCUGUCCUAAGACAAAUACUUCCUGUACAGUGUGCGUACAGUAUAAUGAUGUGUGACUGAACAACAUGGCAAGGCAUGGCACAAGUAGUAGAGAGACACAAGCAUUGGAAAAUGUUAAGAUGAAGACUCCGCCCAUGAUCUACUGCAUAUGCAUUCACAGGGUAGGUACAUAUCAAGAGUCGCUUUAGGUGAAGAGAGAGAAGGACCACUGCCUUUAAAAUGAGUCUCUUUCAAGAAAGGAGAAGAGUUCAGCCUCUGAAAUGAGUCCUGCCGUGGAUUAGGACCCCUUCCAUGGAGCUAAGAAGUGAAAACAGUCUGUGCUGUAUGUUUGAGUAUCUGUGUGUGCAGAUAUGACUUGAGAUCUGAAAUCCUGCAAGGAGCUCAAUACAAUUCCAUCAUUUUCAGACAGUUUGAAUUAAAGCUGGAAUGUUUUUCUGUGUUGUCCUGAGGCCCCGUCCACAAGCAUAGACCGGCUGUAUGUCCAUGAAGAGUGACCAGUCUAUGAUGCUGCCAAUAGAAUUCAGACAGAAAGCUUUUCCUACAAAACAAGGGUACAUUCCCAUGCAUAUCUUUUUGUUGUUGUGGAGGGUGACAUUUUAUGAUACUUUUUACGAGUUUGCGGUCUAUCAAAAAGCCAGUGAAGUUCAGGGAUGGAGAACAUUACAUAAUAGCAUGAAAUGUAACAAAGUUAUUACAAUUGAAAUGAUGCAUAGAAAUCAUAGAACAUGGUCAGAGGAAAAAUACACUAUUGCUAAAUCCAAAAGAGAAUGACUUGACAUUUAAAAGGCAUGAUAUUCUUUGUUUCGUGGUUUAACUAAUGUUCAUGUUAUGUUUUUGACAAGGCCCAGCAUGAGAGAUCGGACUCACCUGUUACCUGUGUGUGUCCAUGAAGACUGCCUAUAGAAUUCAGACAGAAAGCCUUUCCUACAAAACAAGGGUACCUUCCCAUGCAUAUAUUUUUUGUUGGGUGACAUUUUAUUCAAAUCAAAUGUAUUUAUAUAGCCCUUCUUACAUCAGCUGAUAUCUCAAAGUGCUGUACAGAAACCCAGCAUAAAACCCCAAACAGCAAGCAAUGCAGGUGUAGAAGCACGGUGGCUAGUAAAAACUCCCUAGAAAGGCCAAAAUCUAGGAAAAACCAGGCUAUGAGGGGUGGCCAGCCCUCUUCUGGCUGUGCCGGGGUGGAGAUUAUAACAGAACAUGGCCAAGAUGUUCAAAUGUUCAUAAAUGACCAGCAUGGUCAAAUAAUAAUAAUCACAGUAGUUGUCGAGGGUGCAGCAAGUCAGCACCUCAGGAGUAAAUGUCAGUUGGCUUUUCAUAGCUGAUCAUUCAGAGUAUCUCUACCUCUCCUGCUGUCUCUAGAGAGUUGAAAACAGCAGGUCUGGGACAGGUAGCACAUCCGGUGAACAGGUCAGGGUUCCAUAGCCGCAGGCAGAACAGUUGAAACUGGAGCAGCAGCACGGCCAGGUGGACUGGGAACAGAAAGGAGUCAUCAUGCCAGGUAGUCCUGAGGCAUGGUCCUAGGGCUCAGGUUUCUGCUUACCUUUUUUAGUUGACCGGUCAGGAUUUGUGAGACACACCGUCCGACGACAGUACUGGCCAAUCGGCUGGCACACCAAUGUCCAGCGAAAUCCUUCACCAGAUCACGUUAGGGGUCACCAAUUGUUAGAGUCGCGUCAAUCGAAUCUGGUAUCAGGAUAAAUAUGAUAAUGAGUCACCGAUUGUAUACUAUGUAUUUUUUAUUAGCUAAGCAAUAAGUGGUAAAUGCAAUUUUCAUAUAUACGGGCUCACUGUCCC
ensembl:lncRNA